AACGAACGCUGGCGGCAUGCCUAACACAUGCAAGUCGAACGAGACCUUCGGGUAUAGUGGCGCACGGGUGCGUAACGCGUGGGAACCUGCCCUUAGGUUCGGAAUAACUCCCCGAAAGGGGUGCUAAUACCGGAUAAUGUCCUCGGACCAAAGAUUUAUCGCCUUUGGAUGGGCCCGCGUUGGAUUAGCUAGUUGGUAGGGUAAAAGCCUACCAAGGCGACGAUCCAUAGCUGGUCUGAGAGGAUGAUCAGCCACACUGGGACUGAGACACGGCCCAGACUCCUACGGGAGGCAGCAGUGGGGAAUAUUGGACAAUGGGCGAAAGCCUGAUCCAGCAAUGCCGCGUGAGUGAUGAAGGCCUUAGGGUUGUAAAGCUCUUUUACCCGGGAUGAUAAUGACAGUACCGGGAGAAUAAGCUCCGGCUAACUCCGUG
rnacentral:rRNA from 1 species